UGAAUGUGAUGGAGCAUCAAUGCCUG
rnacentral:piRNA from 2 species